rnacentral:rRNA from 1 species
AACGAACGCUGGCGGCAUGCCUAACACAUGCAAGUCGAACGAGACCUUCGGGUCUAGUGGCGCACGGGUGCGUAACGCGUGGGAAUCUGCCCUUGGGUUCGGAAUAACAGUUGGAAACGACUGCUAAUACCGGAUGAUGACGUAAGUCCAAAGAUUUAUCGCCCAAGGAUGAGCCCGCGUAGGAUUAGCUAGUUGGUGAGGUAAAGGCUCACCAAGGCGACGAUCCUUAGCUGGUCUGAGAGGAUGAUCAGCCACACUGGGACUGAGACACGGCCCAGACUCCUACGGGAGGCAGCAGUGGGGAAUAUUGGACAAUGGGCGAAAGCCUGACCCAGCAAUGCCGCGUGAGUGAUGAAGGCCUUAGGGUUGUAAAGCUCUUUUACCCGGGAUGAUAAUGACAGUACCGGGAGAAUAAGCUCCGGCUAACUCCGUG